AAAAAGGGACACUGCCGCAUAAAAUAAAAUAGAGGAAGUAUCCAAAAGCAAAUUUAUUCUCAGUUUCUUUACUGCAUGUGAAGCCACUUAAUAGAAAGUAUUCCCUCAAUGGUCUUACUAAUUCUGCUAUUUUGAGAUUCUUACAUAACAUACUCUUACCCACUUCACUUGUUCUUUUUUCUUGCUGAAACAACAAAGAUCACUAGCUUAGUUUUGUUCUGCUUUGGAAAGAUUGCACCAUCAGCUACUUAAUUUACUCUGAAGAAAUCAGGUAAUUAAGUUCACAUCUCUCAUUCUUCAGCUUGGUAGAACAAAAUCACACAUCAAAAAUCUUUAGUCUGUAUUUGUUUUUCCUGCAUCUCCCCCUUUCUUUUUUCAAGUUUCUUGUUUAGCUCUAUUACGGGACAUGAGCUAGAAUUCACUUAAUGUGAUGAGUGUGUAUAAAUGGACAUUUAAAUUUGUAUAAAAGUUGACACAGUGUCUUACGUGGAGUCUCAAUUGAAUUGCCAUGUCGGAUAUCAUAUAGAACGCGUAUAUUUAUUUAUUCAACUUUAAGUACAUACUUAUGUACAUUCAAAUUUAAAGAAUGUACGUAGAUAUCUGUUAAAGUCAAGUUAAAGAUAUAUUUAUGUAUUAUAACGUUUAAGAAUACUGGUUCCUCCACUACCUUAACUUGUUCCAUUUGUCAAGUGAAUACUUUGACAAAUAUUUAGGUUCAGGUGCCGCGCAAAUUUUCAUACAAAUAUCCCAAUCCGAUUGAUCUUCUUCGGAGUCGAACUUUUGCUUGUCUUCAUAUUUCUCAGAUACAGAUAUUUCAUAUUUGAUGACUUUGACAAUUUCAACUAGCUAUGUGUUUUUUCGUUUGAAAAUAAAUUUACUCCAAUCUGAUACAUAUAUCAAAGUUAUUUAAUUUAGCUUUAUAAGUCAAUAUUGUGUAAUUACUGUUCAUAUCUGUGUUCAUGAAAAGUAAUUAGUUUAAUAGUAAAAAAACAUAAACAUAAAAAGUUAUUUUUGUGUGUCCUUAAAGAUUUUUAAUUCUUAUUUAGCGUAAAUUUCAAUUAAUUACAAUUUAUAGUCCUAUCUUCCCUAUUUAUUAUCUCUAAUUACAAUUCAUAGUGUCUUUCAUUUAUUUUUUCUCUUUCUCUAUUUUUUAUUACUCUUUUUUUUUUUUCCUUUUGCAGUUUUUUUCUCCAUUUUAUCUUUUUCUUUUUUUUUCUCUUUCUUUUUUCCCUUUUUUUCUUUUCACUUAUUUUUUUUUCAUUUUUUCUUUCUUUUUCUUUUUCUUUUUUUCUUUUCCUUUACAUUUUUUC
rnacentral:lncRNA from 1 species